rnacentral:lncRNA from 1 species
GAGGAUUCACCACUCUCACCUAGGGUGUAGACAUUGGUGUGUGAGAGUGAAUAUGGAAGUUAGAGGACACACCGGUGUGAGGCCCAGGUGUAAGGUGAGUGGACAUGCAGGUGUGAGGUGAGAGGAUGUGCAGGUGUGAGGCUCAGGUGUGAGGUGAGUGGACAUGAAGGUAUGAGGCCCAGGAGUGAGGUGAGUGGACAUGCAGGUGUGAGGCCCAAGUGUGAGGUGAGAGGAUGUGCAGGUGUGAGGUGAAUGGACAUGAAGGUGUGAGGCACAGGUGUGAGGUGAGUGAACAUGCAGGUGUGAGGCACAGGUGUGAGGUGAGUGAACAUGCAGGUGUGAGGCCCAGGUGUGAGGUGAGUGGACAUGCAGGUGUGAGGCCCAGGUGUGAGGUGAAAGGAUGUGCAGGAAUGAAGAACAGAUUCAGGGUGAGAAGAUCCAUAGGUGUGAAAUGAGAAGGUACACGGGUGUGAGAAGCAUUUCAGGAUGUGUGGCCUGUGAGUG